UAAGAUGUAGUUAAUUCGUUACUUAUAUGGAGAGAUAGAUAGAUAUAUAGAUAGAUGUUCAUUUGUAGUUUACAAAGAUAUGAUACAUAUUUAUAUAGAGAGAGUAUGAACAUAUUUAUUAAAGAGUAGUUUUUGUGAGAUACCACUAACAUUAUAGCUGAUAAUGGAGAGAGAAAUUAAUUAUUUACGUCAAGUUGUUCAAGCUCAGGUUUUAAUGGCUCUAUUCGGAAGCUUCGCGAAAGGAUAUUUUAGCUUUGAUGUUCAGGUAGGUUAGGCUUACCCUAUCUUUAAAUUGAGCUUAUUUACUAAAUUUGUGUACUAUUAUACUAGUUUUGGAUAAGUACUUGUAGUUCUGUACCAUUUGAUUUUUACAACAUGCCUUAUUUAUUCGAUUAGCACUCCAUUCUAGUAAAUUUUUGUAUCUUACCUUUAAGUAUGAUAUAGUAUCUAUCACUUUAGGAUGUAGAAUUAAGUUAUGAAACCUAGAUUUUGCCCCUUUUUAAUUAUGAUACUGAUGCCAGUGGCUCGACAACAGCAUUGAUAACUAGCGCACUUGGUGAAAAAAUGCUCUCCACGACAGUAGAGGUUAUAGUUGAGACAAACUGUGCCAAGGUCUCGCUUUAUUUAUGUCUAUCUUUGAUUUUAUUGAUUCAACCUUAUCCAUGGCGCAUAGUUUAGAUCUUAUAAAUGGCUUCCAUUUACAUCUUCACCUUCUUCGCAUUGACUAUAUCCAUCAAAUAUUGUCAAACAAAUUAUUCAGCAUUCAGCUAAGGAAGUCGUCCUAGUUAAGCACUAAUGUUACUUAUACAGGCUUAACAGUUCUUUCUUACACAAAAAAAUAAUAAGUGCUUCUGCCAAGAAUCAACCAGAGAAAUGCUAAAAAAGUAAUGUCUCCCUCCACAAAAGAUUAAGGGAUGGAAGCACCAGUUGUUGAAUCAGGAUCUUCGAGCGCAACACUGCCACUUAAACCACUCACCAACAAAAAAACUGUAAGAAGUCAGUCCACUUGAAUUCCCGAGAAAAAUAUUUCUUUUGCUCUGGUUAAAGAUACUAUUUGAAUACUUGCUUCAUUGUCUCACCAUCAAUUAAUAUAUCCUUUCUAUGGCAAGCUUUGAGUUCUAGUUCCGUGCAGGAACAUAUAUUUUACUUUUAAGACUUCAACUUGGCAGAAUCAUAAAAAGGCUAAUCUUUUUAAAACAAAUUAAACGCCAAGAAUUUGACUGUUAUCAAACUAUUUGGUCUGAUUCACAUCUAAAAAAAUCAUGUAUUAGCUCCAAAACUUCAACACUUAGAUGGUUUGAUAAAUCAAUUAACAUGAUUUUCAAAGGAAAAAAAAGGAUUCUUUCAGUACAAUAACAAGGACGAACAAGAAACAUAUCAUGUGUCUUAAAGAUUUCACUUUCUCUCAUUCUUUAAGACUUUACCUAUAUUUGAAAACUCGACAUAUUUUAUACUUGCAGGCCUUUUUUCUGAUAUUUGAUAUCAAGCAUAUUCAUUUUCUUGUACUUGUAGGAACUAUAGUCCUCUAUUUUGGUAACUUUUGCCUGCUGGAAAAGGAUGGGAUUUCUUUUGGUCUCUGAAUCAACGUACUUCUACUCAGUGUGAAUGACCAGCAAUUUAAAAUUAGGAAGUGGUAUAACAAAUGCAAUGGAGGUUUAGCAGUUUUUUGAGUCAUCUCAAUGCUCCAUAUUUAGUGGCAAGAAAAUAUAUUGCUUCUAGUUAAGUUUUCACUGCAUGAUUUUGGUAUAUACAUAUUCAUUUAUGUAGCUGACUUUACCCUGAAAUCAUGAUUGUUAAGUUUUCGUAGUUGUGUCUAAAAAUUGCUUGAACUAGAGAUUAAGAUAUCUAUUUUAGGAAAUAUGACUGUCAUCUGAACGAUGUACGAUAUCUACUUGAUUAUUACUUGUGUGCUCUAUCAUAUAAUGUUCUGUUAAAUUUCCUUUUCUAUUUCUUUAAUGUCUAACAAAUGAUACAAAAUUACAAAUUAUAUGAUAGUUGAAUUAGGAGUAUGCACCAAGUUUGGUUUGCGCUUUGAAAGGUUUGAAAAGACUCCAACAAAAGAUCUAAUUUUUUCCACAUGUCUCUGAGUUUGGAUGUUGUACUACUUCAGACUGAUUUUUCCCCUUUGAGAUGAGAUUCUAUAGAAAUAGUUUCUUUACCUUCCGAGGUAGAGAUAAGUUGCACGAACAUUAUGCUCCUUAGACCCUACUUCAUAGGAUUACACUGAGUAUGGAAAACCAAGUUGCUUACAGUCAUUGACUUUGUUUUCCUUCAGUUUCUCUAAAUAAGAACCAAUUUUCCGCAUCUGUUUUGAUUAGGUAAAGUUAAAUUUUAAUUAUCAGUAGCAAGAUAGUAGAGUAUUAGAAUACCAACACCAUUUUACCCUACCAUCUUCAUGAUGCAAGACCAAUGUCAUAUUUUCAACCUUCCAGCUUACACAAAAUGUAUAAAUUUUGAUAACAAGAUAUGUCUUAUAAAAGACAUAUGGAUCUUCUUUCCAUUAAAACAUCCUUUUUUUCUUGCAACCCAAAUUGCCUAUAAAAAUGCAUAAUCCAAUAGCUUUCAAGUUCCUGCCAAGUACUCAGCAUGCUUUUAACAUCAAUAUUAUAUACAACUUCCACUGGAAAACUCACCAUUGAAGUUUCCGUUCUCACUUACCAACCAGAAAAUUGAAUCCUCUUGUUUAAGUCUCUACAAUGGAAGACUGAAUUUUCUAUUUUUCGGUUAUUUAGUCUUCUUCUGAGAAAUCCAUUCAAUCAGUGUUAGUGAAAUAUUCAGAUGCACUGUUCUGACACCAAAAUUACUGUCACUUCUGCUACUAAUUUUAUUCAAGUUUUAUGUAUAUCUCCUAUUGUUACUUUUACUACUAAUUGUAUUCAAGUUCUAUGUAUAACUUCUGUUUAAUAGGCACGGUUCAUAUGUCAUGAAUAGACAUUGUUUGGGAUGGGUAUUAAAUUAAUCGAAAUCCUCAACACAUUACUAAUGUCGCAUAUGAAAUGUCAAAACGUGACAAUGAGCUUCCUUUACGUUUUGUCAUAGAAUCAUUUAUAGAGCUAAUGGUGUUUCAUAAGUAAUUAAUUAGACAACUAAUAUUUACCUCUUUACCUUAAGGAAGUCGUAAUUCUUUUGUGGAAUACAAAAACUUGGUUGGGCUCUAACUGUACCAUCCUACCACUAAACAUUUGGAAUAUGAUCGUGACGUGGCUAAAAAUUCAAGGAUUGUUAGCUUUUUUGGAUAGCACACUUGUCAUUAUUGUAAAUAUUGUUAAUAUUACCCUUAUAUAUAUUGUCUUAAUUGUCGUAUCUUGUGCUUUAUUAACAUAGAUGCUAAAAAGUUAGCAGUCAAAUUCCUCUUGAUAUGUAGAUAGAUAAUACAGCUACAAGUCCUGUGUAAUUUAGAGUUAAAAAUCAUGUAUAUUAGUAAAAUGCGCACAACGUGUUAAUGGAUUAACAAAUGGACAAUGAGUAUUGAGUAUUAAUAACUUAUUAAUUAUUAUCAGAAAUUUUAGGCCAUGUCUAGGUGCACAUUGGCCUUGACAUAUGCUAAGACAAGCAAUGUGAGGACCAAGGAUGCUGGAGUGAUGGAAAGGCUUCCUUAGGAACAUGAGGCACGACAGGCUCAUGGCACCUAAGUGGGCAUGAACGCAUGCAGCAACAUGAGCAUGGCAUGGAACUGGCAUGACAUCGACACUGGCAUGGCGCAGGUGAUGGCAUAGCACAGGCAUGGACACAAAAAUGGGCACUGGCAUGAUCAAGGCAGAGUCAUAGCAUAGGCAUUGGCUGGCCUAAGAUGUGACAUGGCUAAGACAGCUUUAUGGCACAAACAAUGGCAUGGCGCUGGCGCAGGUAACAACAUGGCAUUGGCAUGGUAUGAUGCUAGCAAGGCGAGGCAUGGCUGGGAAGCAUGACAAAUUGAUCAUGUGUUGGAGAAGCUGAAAAUUGGCUUAAGUGUUUAGCAUUGGAAAAAUUGACUAAGUGGGCAAGACUACCCAUGUGCUAGUCACAUAGGGUAGUUACUAAGUUUGAAUUUUGAAUGUUGUAAGCAUGUGUUAUUUUUAGAUUGUAUUUUAAAUACCAUGUGUUAUUUUUAGAUUGUAUUUUAAAUACUUAGGUUAGGCUGUUAUGUAAUGGGAUAAGCAUGCAGCCUUGUCCAAUGAUAAGUUGCCAGGUGCCGUUGGUUGUAUCUAUUGUAACUGCCUUAUGUAGUAUUUAUAUGUUGUUGCUAGAAAUUGUAAAAGGGCAGAAAACAUUAAGUGAGAGUGUUGUAUGCCUUUGAAAAAUUU
rnacentral:lncRNA from 1 species